rnacentral:rRNA from 1 species
UACGUAGGGGGGCGAGCGUUGUCCGGAUUCAUUGGGCGUAAAGAGCUCGUAGGCGGCUUGGUUAGUUGGGUGUGAAACCUCCAGCUUAACCUGGAGACGCCACUCAAUACUGCCAUGGCUAGAGUCCGGUAGGGGACCACGGAAUUCCUGGUGUAGCGGUGAAAUGCGCAGAUAUCAGGAGGAACACCGGUGGCGAAGGCGGUGGUCUGGGCCGGCACUGGCGCUGAGGAGCGAAAGCGUGGGGAGCGAACAGG